rnacentral:rRNA from 1 species
CCCAAUACAUGCAAGUCGAGCGGACCGACGGGAGCUUGCUCCCUUAGGUCAGCGGCGGACGGGUGAGUAACACGUGGGUAACCUGCCUGUAAGACUGGGAUAACUCCGGGAAACCGGGGCUAAUACCGGAUGCUUGAUUGAACCGCAUGGUUCAAUCAUAAAAGGUGGCUUUUAGCUACCACUUACAGAUGGACCCGCGGCGCAUUAGCUAGUUGGUGAGGUAACGGCUCACCAAGGCGACGAUGCGUAGCCGACCUGAGAGGGUGAUCGGCCACACUGGGACUGAGACACGGCCCAGACUCCUACGGGAGGCAGCAGUAGGGAAUCUUCCGCAAUGGACGAAAGUCUGACGGAGCAACGCCGCGUGAGUGAUGAAGGUUUUCGGAUCGUAAAACUCUGUUGUUAGGGAAGAACAAGUACCGUUCGAAUAGGGCGGUACCUUGACGGUACCUAACCAGAAAGCCACGGCUAACUACGUGCCAGCAGCCGCGGUAAUACGUAGGUGGCAAGCGUUGUCCGGAAUUAUUGGGCGUAAAGCGCGCGCAGGCGGUUUCUUAAGUCUGAUGUGAAAGCCCCCGGCUCAACCGGGGAGGGUCAUUGGAAACUGGGGAACUUGAGUGCAGAAGAGGAGAGUGGAAUUCCACGUGUAGCGGUGAAAUGCGUAGAGAUGUGGAGGAACACCAGUGGCGAAGGCGACUCUCUGGUCUGUAACUGACGCUGAGGCGCGAAAGCGUGGGGAGCGAACAGGAUUAGAUACCCUGGUAGUCCACGCCGUAAACGAUGAGUGCUAAGUGUUAGAGGGUUUCCGCCCUUUAGUGCUGCAGCAAACGCAUUAAGCACUCCGCCUGGG